CCUACGGGUGGCAGCAGUAGGGAAUAUUGCUCAAUGGGGGAAACCCUGAAGCAGCAACGCCGCGUGGAGGAUGAAGGUUUUCGGAUCGUAAACUUCUUUUGUUAGAGAAGAUAAUGACGGUAACUAACGAAUAAGUACCGGCUAACUCCGUGCCAGCAGCCGCGGUAAUACGGAGGGUGCAAGCGUUACUCGGAAUCACUGGGCGUAAAGAGCGCGCAGGCGGGUUUGCAAGGCAGCUUUUAAAUCCUAUGGCUUAACCAUAGAACUGCAUUUGAAACUGUUAUUCUAGAGUAUGGGAGAGGUAGGUGGAAGUCUUGGUGUAGGGGUAAAAUCCGUAGAGAUCAAGAGGAAUACUCAUUGCGAAGGCGACCUGCUGGAACGUAACUGACGCUGAGGCGCGAAAGCGUGGGGAGCAAACAGGAUUAGAUACCCGAGUAGUC
rnacentral:rRNA from 1 species